GUACUACUCCCUCCAUUCCGAAUUACUUGUCUUGGAUUUGUCUAGAUACAGAUGUAUCUAGACUCAUUUUAGUGUUAGAUACAUCUGUAUCUGGAUAAAUUUAAGACAAGUAAUUUAGAACGGAGGGAGUACUAU
rfam:Triticum aestivum genome assembly, contig: Triticum_aestivum_CS42_TGACv1_scaffold_513958_6BS